rnacentral:rRNA from 1 species
AUUGAACGCUGGCGGCAUGCCUUACACAUGCAAGUCGAACGGCAGCGGACCUUCGGGUGCCGGCGAGUGGCGAACGGGUGAGUAAUAUAUCGGAACGUACCUUUCAGUGGGGGAUAACGUAGCGAAAGUUACGCUAAUACCGCAUAUUCUGUGAGCAGGAAAGCAGGGGAUCGCAAGACCUUGCGCUGAUUGAGCGGCCGAUAUCAGAUUAGCUAGUUGGUGAGGUAAAGGCUCACCAAGGCGACGAUCUGUAGCGGGUCUGAGAGGAUGAUCCGCCACACUGGAACUGAGACACGGUCCAGACUCCUACGGGAGGCAGCAGUGGGGAAUUUUGGACAAUGGGCGCAAGCCUGAUCCAGCCAUGCCGCGUGAGUGAAGAAGGCCUUCGGUUGGUAAAGUACGUCUUUCGGUCCGGGUAACGGAAAGUACGCACGGGUUAAG